ANAGUUUGAUCCUGGCUCAGNAUGAACGCUGNCGGUAUGCUUAAUACAUGCAAGUCGNACGAGGGCUUUUAGCCCUAGUGGCGGACGGGUGAGUAACACGUNAAAUCUGCCCUUAGGAGGAGGAUACCAGCUGAAACGGGUGCUUAAUACUCNAUAUGCCGAGAGGUGAAAGGAAUUUCUGCCUAAGGAGGAGCUCGCGUCUGAUUAGCUAGUUGGUAGGGUAAAGGCCUACCAAGGCGACGAUCAGUAGCUGGUUUGAGAGGAUGAUCAGCCACACUGGGACUGAGACACGGCCCAGACUCCUACGGGAGGCAGCAGUAGGGAAUUUUCCGCAAUGGGCGAAAGCCUGACGGAGCAAUACCGCGUGAGGGAUGACGGCCUGUGGGUUGUAAACCUCUUUUCUCAAGGAAGAAGUUCUGACGGUACUUGAGGAAUAAGCAUCGGCUAACUCUGUGCCAGCAGCCGCGGUAAUACAGAGGAUGCAAGCGUUAUCCGGAAUCACUGGGCAUAAAGCGUCUGUAGGUGGUUUGGUAAGUCUGCUGUUAAAGACUGGGGCUCAACCCCAGAAAAGCAGUGGAAACUGCCAGACUUGAGUGUGGUAGAGGUAAAGGGAAUUCCUA
rnacentral:rRNA from 1 species